AGCGAACGCUGGCGGCAGGCCUAACACAUGCAAGUCGAACGAAGCCUUCGGGCUUAGUGGCGGACGGGUGAGUAACACGUGGGAACGUACCUUUUGGUUCGGAACAACUCAGGGAAACUUGAGCUAAUACCGGAUGAGCCCUUAGGGGGAAAGAUUUAUCGCCGAAAGAGCGGCCCGCGUUAGAUUAGCUAGUUGGUGAGGUAAAGGCUCACCAAGGCAACGAUCUAUAGCUGGUCUGAGAGGAUGAUCAGCCACACUGGGACUGAGACAUGGGGCAGACUCCUACGGGAGGACGCAUUGGGGAAUCUUGCGGGAUGGGCGAAAGCGUGACGCAGCCAGGCGGGGUGAAUGAUGAAGGUCUUAGGAUUGUAAAAUUCUUUUACCAGGGACGAUAAUGACGGAACCUGGAGAAAAAGCCCCGGCUAACUUCGUGCCAGCCGCCGCCGUAACAC
rnacentral:rRNA from 1 species